ensembl:lncRNA
GUCUAAUUUUGUAAAAUGAUGGAAAAAAUGUGAAAAUAAUAUUCAAUGUACACUUAAAAUAAAGGUUCUUUAUUUGCAUAUUUGGUUCCAUGGAGAACCUAAAACAUCAACAAAAGGUUCUUUAUAGUGGACAAAGGUUCAUUAGAUUUUUAAAAGUGUUCUUCAAACUGAGAGAAAAAAAAAAGGAUGUUCACUGAAAGGUUCUUUGGGGAACUACAAAAGGUUAUUCUAUUCUAGUAGGCUAGUUGAAAAAAUAAAAAAAUAAGGCCCUGUGGACUUUUAGAAAUUAAACACUCCUAAAAGGCCACAUAUUCUUCUCAGACAUUUGAUACUUCAAUCUAAAUGUAGAAGUAUAGAAGUUCAGUAGAACUUUCCUUAACUGUUGAGCUUAUUUUACCUCCACUUGACAUCCCAAUUAUGAGUCUUCCAGAUAGGUCAGCCUUGUCAGAGCAACGUGACACAUUUGGCAAACCUCUAAUUGCCUUCAUCAGCCAGUGUGACCGGCAGUUCACGCCUCAGAACCCCGCUUGCGACUCGAUCUCAGUGACUCUACACAUCCGUUUCAACUUCUGACAGCAUACACACUCCUCCAGCUGAACCACUGCAUAUGAAUGCCACAUAAAACAACAAAUCUGUUGUGUUGAAUUUGUUUGAUGUGUCACAGAUGCCCGUUUUCAGACGCUUGCAUCAUUCUGUCAUUACCAGAACAGCAACUGAAAAAGAAUGAGUUGAGUUGUUUACCUUUGUGGCAUCGUCAUCGUUGUUGUUUACAUUGAGGAGGCUGGUGUUUUUGGAUUGACGCUCGUCUAUGAGAUUCCAGAUGCGUCCAAUGGCGAAAAUAACUCUUUUCGUGGUUUUAGUACAGAAUUAAACGGGGGAAAAGUGUCUUUGACUUGUUGAGGACGGAGGAGUCGGGAACUGUGCGCGGAAUAUACAAUAAACUGCCUCGGCCCGGUUGCUGUGGUAACUAGAGCACACCGCCACGUGAAUGUGCGCUCGCGACUUUCCACAGAAGAGCGAGAGACCUUUGGGAAUGUGGGAGGGCUGAUGUCAGUGAAUACUGAGAGUGCACAUCUUAAAUUAUACCUGGAUCUGUCUGCGCAGCAUACCAAUAUGUGAUAUUUUUAUAACUCCGGAUUCCCAGGACUCCGGAACGAGCCGUGUGGCAGGAUUGAUCCAUGCAAUUCAGUCCAUCCAUCCACACUGUUCCUGCAUCUCUGGCUUCAGCCAUCACCACACUAGAUGAUCUGGAUUGAGUUCUGAUGAGAUAAGCUGCUAAAGCUGAUUUUAGAUCAGCAUCAUCACACAAACUGAUCAGUGAGACUCCCACAGCAGAGACAACCAAACUGAAGCUUUUUCUCCUGAGAAGUCACUGGAAUGACCGAUAUGAAGACUUGGAUGGUUGAAAGUCACACAUUCUCUUCCCGUUAAUGACUUUGAGCCUCGAGGCCUCAGACAGGAGCCUGCAGACCUUCGGAUUGAUCCCCUCCCGUCUCCUUCAGAUUUUUCCUUUCGUGAAAGAAAGUUCAGUGGGUUUGGAUCUACAUGAAUAAUUUGGAGUGAAAUAUGACCCAGACACAUUGCUGACAGGUUUUGUGAGAUUCACCCUGGAGCAAAUGUGUGGAGGAAAUAAAUCUACACAGACCUCAAGUGGUUCAGGAAAGACCUUUUCCAUCAACAUGUGGAUGGUCAUCUGCGGUGCACCAUGAACCUUCUGACUCUGAGCUUCUCCUUGUCACGAUCCUUUACGCUGGAGUCUGGUGUCACUGAUAAUAGGCCCCUCUGGGAGCCCUGUACAGUAGCAGGGCCUGCAAACUGUCUGUAUAUGAAAGGAGCUCCCACUCACGGCCUACUUCUGAAAAGCUGUCGGCGAUGGGAGGGAGAGGAGCAGCGGAUAAGGAGGAGGAGGACAGAAUUAGAAUGGGGAAGUUCAAACUCAUUGACGCAAGACAAAAGUGGAGUAAUUGAGUUCAAGAACAUUUCAACUGUUGUGCUCAGAAGAGAAGCUGUGCCGUAUGUGAGAGACACCCAGCAGAGAACAGAAGAACAGCUAGAGCACCUCUUAAAAAGUCACACUUUCAUGUUCUCUUUGAGAGACUUUAAAAGGACAUACCUGACAAACAUUUGCUAUUUUAAUGUUGCUGUAGGGUUAGGUAAGUUGUGGGCAAGUUUUCAG